rnacentral:rRNA from 1 species
GACGAACCGUACGAACGUUAUUCGGAAUCACUGGGCUUAAAGGGUGCGUAGGCUGCGCGGAAAGUUGGGUGUGAAAUCCCUCGGCUUAACCGAGGAACUGCGCCCAAAACUACCGUGCUCGAGGGAGACAGAGGUGAGCGGAACUUAGGGUGGAGCGGUGAAAUGCGUUGAUAUCCUAAGGAACACCGGUGGCGAAAGCGGCUCACUGGGUCUCUUCUGACGCUGAGGCACGAAAGCUAGGGUAGCGAACGGG